UCACAUGCAACAGUUUUAUUACUUCUCUCAGAAAAUAAUCUGGGAAGGUGUGCAUACUUUCCAGCUGCUUUAUUAACCUAGGCAACAUGAAAUAUGGCAUUUCAGGGUAUCUCAAGGAUCAAGCUCUGCAUGUAUAGACAAACCAACUUUGACUCUGGAGGAUGGGGAAGAAAAAGGACAGAAAUUUGAAGAGGAGAGAAAUGACAAAAAGGAGAUUCAGCGGAGAAGGGAGCUACUGAAUAUUCCUGGACAGUUAGCAAAAAUCUUAAACAUUUCAUCACUUCGCAGUCCUGUUGAAGGCUUCGGAUGUAACAGCACAAUAUUUCUGAAUUAAAGUUACUUUUCUGGAAUCAAUUGUUUGGACAUGAACGAAGGAAGUCAUGGAAAAGAAAGCUCUUCAAGAAUAGCUGCAUAUGACCACCAUAAUGACUGAAAGAGGAUGAGGUCUGUUGUAUGCACAUGAUGUAUAAAAAGACAUAUAAAUAUGUAAGCACCUCUACUUUUGCAAAAUAUGCAAAUCUCAAAAUAUUCCAGUGCCAUUGACUAGCCCUUCUCAAAAAUAGAAACAAGAUGUGACAAAACCAGGGCUAAUUUUGGAGCUCCGACUAACCUAUGGAAAAGAAGGUCUCUGUCUUCUGCCCACGAGAAGACAGAAUCUAACCCAAUAUGACCGUAGUAUGCUGCAGUAUGCAUUCUAGCAUUUGGCAUAUGAAUGGAAUUUUUUGCCUAACAUUUUUGCUGUGAUAUAAGGAUGACAAAAUAAUUCAAGCCAAAAAGAAAGAAGUUUUCUUUUAAAAAUUAUUUUAAUCAUCUGGAAUUUUGGGAAAAUAAAUUUAUAAUCCAAAACACAGCCCUCAUCAAAACUAAGUUAACUAAAUGGAACUCCUCCUUUCCUCCAAGAGACACUGCCAAAAUUGCUUUUCAGAUUUUGAGCUGAAUUGUUGUGAUUUAUUACUAGAAAAUCAAAGUUUGGAGCAUAACAAAUAUAUGCUAAGCUAUUUGUAAUUAACGAUGGGUGCAAAUGAACACUGAAAUUAUUCAAUGGGUUUCACAGCAUCACAAAAGAGAUUGAUCUGAACUAGUUUAAUGUGUUUCUGUUCUACUGAAUGCUAUCAAAAGCCAUAAAUUUUGAAAAUUGCCAUUUUGCAAGUUUUGGUUUCCUCUAUAAUGAAUUUCAAUAUGCCAAAGUUUCCUAUAGCAUUCCAUAUAUCAUUUUAAAAAGCAUGAGAAAUAGGGAUUUGUUAUCCAAAACUAGUAAACCUAGAGUAUUAGUCAGAAUUAGGUUGUAAAAGAAAGAAUCAGCUGAAUAUUUAUAAGCAAUUACCUGAGUUAAGACACUAUUUUUUCAAGUUCUGUGUCGUUUACUUGACAUAUGCUCUGCAAGCCGCUAUUUCAGUAAAGGUAGUUGAUGUUCCCUGAAGCACUUGCAGCUACUCACCUCAACCCUCCUCACCACAAACGCCCACCCUUCUCCAGACCUGCCUAGGGUCUGCUUCCUUAACCUAUUCCAGACAAAACAAGUGAGGCUAACUUAAUUUAAAUGGUAGGUUUUUGCUAAGCAAGAUCAUUUGUCUGAAGUAGUUUAGACAGCAUUCAGCAAUCAGCUCCACUCAAAAGUCUAAAUUGCUGUUAAUCUCUGACAAGGGGGAAAAAGAGGGGGAAAAGGGAAAGGAAAUUUAUGCGUAUCUCUGGAAAGGUUACAGAUUCUUUCUUUUGCUGAGAAGCAGAAUAUGAAAGACUGGAUGUCUGAGACCUAAAGCAUUAGACAAUUGCACUUGUGAAUUCUUAUAAUGCAUAUUUCAGGGAAUAGACAUCUUUGGGAAUGAAACCCUGUCUGGAUUGGUUAAGUAAUCAGAUGCAAAGUGCUAGACUUGCUGGUCUUGUUUCCCUGUUCAAUCUCUUGUUGAGGGAGUCCCCAAGGCGCUCUUUAAUGGUGUUUAUACAGCGAAGCAAUGAUAUAUCACAUGUGGCAGUACAAUAACAUUUUCAUGCUGAUUAGAUAGGUUUGUACAGCUCUGAUUAAGGUACUUCUCCUGUUUUAACUUUACCUCUGGACUUUCGAAUUUACAUGCAAACUUAUAACUGAACACUUGCAAAAUCUGCAGUCACAUAAUUAAAAAAUAUUACCAAAAAUUGACAUCUGGUUUGAUUUCAUUUGAAUUGCAUUUCUUUUACAUGAUGGUAUUAAAAUAAAAGUUUGUGCAAAUGUCUACUGUGCAUAUACCUUCACAAACAAAAGCAAGCCUGUUCCCCUGGUAAUCACCCAUUCAGGUAGCAGAGUACCUAAGAGUAACUGCAAGCCUGUGCAGAGACAAAAUUCUACCUAUCUCUUAAAAGAAGCAGAUUGCCAUUGUUUUGUAUUUUACUCAGUUGUCAUUACAAUGCUGCACAGUUUCCAAGCAAAAUUAUAUGAAUACUAUCAGUUAUAGUCUUUAUCAU